rnacentral:lncRNA from 1 species
AUAUUUUUUAAAGAAUACUAAAACUUUGAAAUUAAAAAGAAAAAGUUAAAUAUUAAAUCAUAUUUAAUAUUAAAAUAUUAAAAUAAAAUCACAUUAAAAAUAUUAGCAAAAUAUAUAUUUACAUUACAUUUGCAUUUAUUCAUUUAGCAAAUGCUUUUAUCCAAAGCAACUUACAAAAUCAAUUUGAAUAUAAUUUAUACUAUAUAUACUAUUACUAUACUAUAUAUAAUUUUUUUGGCAACUUCUGUUCUGCAGGAAAAUACAUUAUGUGCAUAUUUUAAGUGACAGAUAUUUAACGGCAACAUUUUUCUCUUUUUACAGAUGACCUCCUUCCUCACUCUUCUGCUCAAUAUGCAUGGAUUGUCGCCGUGGUCCUUGUCCUUUUAGCCAUUGUCUUCAUCUCUGUAUUUCUGCAUAGGAGAAAAAAUGGUAAGAAAAACAGACGAAAUGAAUCUAAAUGUGCUUUCCUGUUUCCACACUCAUCCUCUGCCACCGCUGACUCUUUACUGACUGUAUACGAGAACAGGCCACAAAAUUGUGACAUAAACUCAGAAGAAACUGCAGAAAAACUUCUAUCUUUGAGGAGCGCGCUUAUGCGACAAUAUUCAGAGCUCGACACAAACGCUGAGAUGAAAAGCAGACUUGCUUCAUAUGCACUCCUCAGCAAGUAAGUGAUUGAUUGAUAUGAGGGAAUUAUGAAUCUGACACAAAAACGUGAGAAUCACUCAUGUGUUGAAUCACACACACACAGACACAUGACAGGAAACUUCCUUAAAAAAACACAAAAACAGACUGAUUACUGUCCGUAAGAACAAUGUACACACACUCGCCCUGACUGAUGAGCUUGCAAUGAACCUUAAAUGAACCUUAGGCCUAAGUAUUUUUGUCAUUUUCCAGUGCAAAUAUCUUAACAUUCCUAAAUCAAGACACAAUUACUUGAGAUUUAAGAUACUGAGUCUUGCUUUCUGAAAAAUUAUCAAAAUUAAACAAUGAAAAUAUCUCUCGGUUGGAAAAAAAGAAUGAAUUUAAUUCAAUGAGAAAACAAGAUUAUUUUAUUUAUUUUAUUCUAUUUGUUUUUAUUUUUAAAUUGUGUAUAUUUUACUUAUUUUAAAAAAUUUUAAAUUUUAUUGUGCUAUAGAGAGAGAGAGAGAGAGAGAGAGAGCAUAUUCCUUUAUAUGUAUAUAAUAUAUAUAUAUGAAAGUGAGUAAGCCAUAACUGUUUCCAGUGAACUGCUGAAAAACACAGCUCUGGCUGAUUGACAAACCACAAUGACAGCAUUGCUCAUUGAUUUCCUUGUUAAACCACAUGAUCUCUCCCUCUCGAUUCCAGUGAAGCUGAUUGACAAACCACAAUGACAGUCAUUGCUCAUUGAUUUCCUUGUUAAACCAAACCAUGAUCUCUCCCUACUCGAUUCCAGUGAAAGGCCAAUCUCUAAACAUCAGCUCAAUCCUGCCUGAUAAGAAAGAAAUUAUCCUUCUGCUUGGAAAACCAGGCAGCGGGAAAACCAGCGUAGCCCAAAUCC